GACGAACGCUGGCGGCGUGCCUAAUACAUGCAAGUAGAACGCACAGUUUAUACCGUAGCUUGCUACACCAUAAACUGUGAGUUGCGAACGGGUGAGUAACGCGUAGGUAACCUGCCUGGUAGCGGGGGAUAACUAUUGGAAACGAUAGCUAAUACCGCAUAAUAUUGAUUAUUGCAUGAUAAUUGAUUGAAAGAUGCUAUUGCAUCACUACCAGAUGGACCUGCGUUGUAUUAGCUAGUAGGUGAGGUAACGGCUCACCUAGGCGACGAUACAUAGCCGACCUGAGAGGGUGAUCGGCCACACUGGGACUGAGACACGGCCCAGACUCCUACGGGAGGCAGCAGUAGGGAAUCUUCGGCAAUGGACGAAAGUCUGACCGAGCAACGCCGCGUGAGUGAAGAAGGUUUUCGGAUCGUAAAGCUCUGUUGUAAGAGAAGAAAGGGUGUGAGAGUGGAAAGUUCACACUGCGACGGUAUCUUACCAGAAAGGGACGGCUAACUACGUG
rnacentral:rRNA from 1 species